UCCCUGGUAGUCUAGUGGUUUGGACUCAGCGCUUUCACUGCUGAGGGUCUGGGUUCGAUGCCUGGUCAAGGAA
rnacentral:tRNA from 1 species